UGAGGGUUUAUUCGGGCUAAUAUAUACUUGAAAUAUUUUUCAAAACGCUGAACUCGCCCGAAAACGUCCCCACUUUUUAAGGUCAGUACGGGAUCUUUCCCCAAUCGAGUGAGUGUCCCCAGAUUGAGUAAACCACUCGAUCGAGUGAUUCGGCACCAGCAGCAAUUUUUUACAACCACCCGAUUAAGUGAGUCAUAACUGGCAGUAAAUUUUUAGCUAGCUAAAUACAUAAACAAACCAAAGGUGCUUGGGAGAGACUUUCUUGCUUAGCACCUUGUCAGCUUGAGCUCUAGAGACAGCGAGCUAAUUAUGUUCACACGGCUGUUUCGCUACGGUCAAACCGCGGACAAAAUUAAGAUGGCUUCCACAAUUUUUUUGGAAAUUUUGUAUUUUUAUCAUUUUUUAAAUUAUUGAAACUUUUUUUGUGUUGUUUUAAUUUUACUGAAUUAAAAAGUAUUAAAACGAUCUACUUUUCCCCUUUUUAAAUAUAUAAAUAUGUUAUAUAUGUGUGUUAUAAAUUUCGAGUUAUUUCGUCAAACAAAACACACAAAACUAAAAAAAAACAUUAUUUUUGGCGAAAGUAUACCAUCUUUCCAACCUUGUGCCAACGUCGCGCUACUAGCUACGGACUUGAAAAUUGGUAUGGGGGGCCUGGAAACAUGGUUCUAUUGGCCGGUACCGUGCACCGUUCGUCUCGCAAACUAUAAACUACAUAAAUUUUAAGUUAAAGUCUUCUUUAGGCGCUAAAAAAGAGGAGAAAAAGUUGCCAAAGUGGUGCACGGCGAUUUGAUGUAGUGUGAUCCCUUUUCUGUCUAAUUAAAUAAUUCUCUAAACUUCUAAGCAAGUCACAGUGAUGGCGUUUAAUGUUUUGGUAGGUAUGGUUUUUCCCAGCAAAAUUACGGCAAGCCGGUGUUUACUUUUGACUUGAUUGCUCGACCCGGGAAUCCUAAUCCGAAACCGGGAUUUUUUGAAAAUGUUGGAAUAAGCGAGACAACGGUGUCUUAGCAAUUUUGAAGCUAGCUAAAGUUUGGCAGAGCACGAGUUAAGACUUUGGUGGGCUUUUUCAAGAUAAAAUUGUUGAAAUCAAAGAUGUUUAUGGCUAGCUAGCUAAUCUUGGCUUUAUCACAAGAUUGGGUGCUAUUUUAUACAAUUUAUAAAGAAACACAACAUGAUUGCUUUGUAUAUAUUUAAUGUAUAUAAUAAACUAUUUAUGCACAA